rnacentral:misc_RNA from 1 species
GUAGGUGAACCUGCGGAAGGAUCAUUUUAAAAUUCAGUAAAAAAGUAAGGUAAGUAGCCUUCCCACAAAAAGGCGGCGUGAGGGGGGGAAUCGCGAGAUCGUGGAUGGAGCAUGACUCUGGGUAGCGAGUAUCACUACCAUCACUCUCGCUUCAAAAGAUGUCCCCGGGAGAGGUGUCCCCUUGCUUGCUCUCUUACAAAUAUCCCUUGCAGCCGCUGCUUUGUGGGUUGGCCCAUCUUCCCCUUUAUUACUUUGAAUAAAAAACACCCCCACCGUGCACUUAUUGAAAGGCCACCCAGAAAGAAAAAUUUAUUUUUCUUUAACUUAUUGCCUAGUAUUUUGACUAAUCUUAUUAAAAAAAUUCAAUACAACUUUUAACAACGGAUCUCUUGGCUCUC